CCUACGGGAGGCAGCAGUGAGGAAUCUUGGUCAAUGGGCGGAAGUCUGAUCCUGCCAUGCCGCGUGCAGGAAGACGGCUCUAUGAGUUGUAAACUGCUUUUGUACAAGGGUAAACCUGAAUACGUGUAUUCAGCUGAAAGUACUGUACGAAUAAGGAUCGGCUAACUCCGUGCCAGCAGCCGCGGUAAUCCGGAGGAUCCAAGCGUUAUCCGGAUUUAUUGGGUUUAAGGGGUGCGUAGGCGGAUUGAUAAGUUGGAGGUGAAAUGUCCGAGCUGAACUCGGGAACUGCCUCUAAUACUGGUGAUCUAGAGAAUAGAUGCGGUAGGCGGAAUGUAUGGUGUAGCGGUGAAAUGCGUAGAGAUCAUACAGAACACUGAUGGCGAAGGCAGCUUACCAAUCUAUAUCUGACGUUGAGGCACGAAGGCGUGGGGAGCGAACAGGAUUAGAUACCCUUGUAGUC
rnacentral:rRNA from 1 species